rnacentral:rRNA from 1 species
UGCGUAGGUGGUUUCUUAAGUCAGAGGUGAAAGGCUACGGCUCAACCGUAGUAAGCCUUUGAAACUGGGAAACUUGAGUGCAGGAGAGGAGAGUGGAAUUCCUAGUGUAGCGGUGAAAUGCGUAGAUAUUAGGAGGAACACCAGUUGCGAAGGCGGCUCUCUGGACUGUAACUGACGUUGAGGCUCGAAAGCGUGGGGAGGCAAAACA